rnacentral:lncRNA from 1 species
AUGUAUACAUUUUUUUCCUUUUUUUUUAUUAGCACUUGCCAUUCCCUCCCCAGCCUCCAGCAGCUGCCGGCUCCGGCGACACUGUCUGCACCUCGUCACUGUAUCACACGUGUCACUUCGGCUGGUCGCCGGAAUCAACCCAUCCAGGAACCUCUCGUCCUGAACAAAUGGCUUGAGCAAGACUCCAGCUGACCCAGUCCCGCCCCAAAAGACGGAAGCACGCCUUUUCAGGGAGGCGGACAGGCACUUUAAAUUUGUUCCUGGCAAAAUACGACACAUUGCGGAAACCUGAAUAGUUGAAGCAACAAAUAUGAAGUCCUGGAAUGCCAAGAGUAGGAAUAUUCUAUCAGGCUAAUAACAGCCAUGGGUGCCAGGUACGGAGAGUCUGCUUUGAUGAGCAUCCUGCUGUGUGCCCUGGCGGUAUUAUAAUGGUCAGCGUUCCUGGAUUCAAGCAAAAGACACCAAUUUACUAACCCUGAGCAGAAAAGAAGUUCUCUGAAUAGAAGGCUAGAAAACAGCUCUGAAAAUGGGCAGAAAUCAAGGAGGACUGCGCAGUGGGGACACAGUCUGGAUCUUGUCACAGGGUCACUCUGGUUAAGGUCUCACCACUGUCAGACUCUGGACCCCUCAUGCAGCCACCGGGAGUGACUUCGCAGUUGUCUCCAGGAUACUGAAAGGUUCAGUUUCCCUACGGGGCCAGAAACUUGCCUCCCCAUCAAGACUCACGCCAUGAAGGACUCCCCCAGGAGUGUCACAAAACGAAGUAGAAUCCACCACUUCUUAUCAUCUUGUUCAAGCCUACCACAAACUGACAAUGGGAUUCAGGACUUGCUACCUCAAAUAUGGCACCCUGGUGUACUGAGCACUUUGAGCUGAAGGAUUUGAGAACUGGCAUGUGCCAGAGGGACCAUCUGAGCUUCCCCCGAAGUAGGUCCUAAAACCCUCAUGUGAGAGGUGCCCUCUCUGAACCUAGAGGAGAGGAGCAAACUUAUUUCCUAAGACAAAGAGACCCAGAGAGGAACAAACAGGCCCCGCCGAGUCUCCCGGCGUUUGCUAGACCCACCUCACUCUCUCUCCCACCGCGUCUUCCCACGACUGUCUACUCUUCCUGGUUCAACUCUUGUCUUAGGAAGGUCCCCAUGUAGCGUAAAACUUACAUUAAAUAAACGUGGGUGCUUUUCUCUUGUUAAUCUGUCAGGGGUCCUGGUCAAGAAUUUAGACGUUAGAGGGAAAAGGUUAACAUCCUCCCUUACAGCUCAGAAGCGGAUAUGAUGUAGCCAUUUUCAGGAGGGGAUCAUAGGUCCUGGAGGUAAAGGAAUUUACCCAAGAAGCAAAGGUCCUGGCCACUUGUGCCCUACACGGUCUUACCCUGAAGCCAGGCAUC